rnacentral:rRNA from 1 species
AUUGAACGCUGGCGGCAGGUAACACAUGCAAGUCGAGCGGAAACGACUUAACUGAACCUUUCGGGGAACGUUAAGGGCGUCGAGCGGCGGACGGGUGAGUAAUGCCUAGGAAAUUGCCCUGAUGUGGGGGAUAACCAUUGGAAACGAUGGCUAAUACCGCAUAAUGCCUACGGGCCAAAGAGGGGGACCUUCGGGCCUCUCGCGUCAGGAUAUGCCUAGGUGGGAUUAGCUAGUUGGUGAGGUAAUGGCUCACCAAGGCGACGAUCCCUAGCUGGUCUGAGAGGAUGAUCAGCCACACUGGAACUGAGACACGGUCCAGACUCCUACGGGAGGCAGCAGUGGGGAAUAUUGCACAAUGGGCGCAAGCCUGAUGCAGCCAUGCCGCGUGUGUGAAGAAGGCCUUCGGGUUGUAAAGCACUUUCAGUCGUGAGGAAGGUGGUAGUGUUAAUAGCACUAUCAUUUGACGUUAGCGACAGAAGAAGCACCGGCUAACUCCGUGCCAGCAGCCGCGGUAAUACGGAGGGUGCGAGCGUUAAUCGGAAUUACUGGGUCGUAAAGCGCAUGCAGGUGGUUUGUUAAGUCAGAUGUGAAAGCCCGGGGCUCAACCUCGGAAUAGCAUUUGAAACUGGCAGACUAGAGUACUGUAGAGGGGGGUAGAAUUUCAGGUGUAGCGGUGAAAUGCGUAGAGAUCUGAAGGAAUACCGGUGGCGAAGGCGGCCCCCUGGACAGAUACUGACACUCAGAUGCGAAAG